rnacentral:rRNA from 1 species
GACGAACGCUGGCGGCGUGCUUAACACAUGCAAGUCGAACGGUAAGGCCCUUCGGGGUACACGAGUGGCGAACGGGUGAGUAACACGUGGGUGAUCUGCCCUGCACUUCAGGAUAAGCCUGGGAAACUGGGUCUAAUACCGGAUAGGACCACUGCCUGCAUGGGUGGUGGUGGAAAGCUUUUGCGGUGUGGGAUGGGCCCGCGGCCUAUCAGCUUGUUGGUGGGGUGAUGGCCUACCAAGGCGACGACGGGUAGCCGGCCUGAGAGGGUGACCGGCCACACUGGGACUGAGAUACGGCCCAGACUCCUACGGGAGGCAGCAGUGGGGAAUAUUGCACAAUGGGCGCAAGCCUGAUGCAGCGACGCCGCGUGAGGGAUGACGGCCUUCGGGUUGUAAACCUCUUUCAGCACCGACGAAGCGCAAGUGACGGUAGUAGCAGAAGAAGGACCGGCCAACUACGUGCCAGCCGCCGCGGUAA